rnacentral:rRNA from 1 species
CGGGUGAGUAACGCGUGGGAACGUGCCCUUUGGUUCGGAAUAGCCCUUGGAAACGAGGAGUAAUGCCGAAUGUGCCCUUCGGGGGAAAGAUUUAUCGCCAAAGGAUCGGCCCGCGUUAGAUUAGCUAGUUGGUGAGGUAAUGGCUCACCAAGGCGACGAUCUAUAGCUGGUCUGAGAUGAUGAUCAGCCACACUGGGACUG